rnacentral:rRNA from 1 species
GUUAGGGCACGACACCGGAGAGGGAGCCUGAGAAACGGCUACCACAUCCAAGGAUGGCAGCAGGCGCGCAAAUUACCCAAUCCCGACACGGGGAGGUAGUGACAAUAAAUAACAAUACGGGGUUCUUUCGGAUUUCGUAAUUGGAAUGAGUACAAUUUAAAUCUCUUAACGAGGAACAAUUGGAGGGCAAGUCUGGUGCCAGCAGCCGCGGUAAUUCCAGCUCCAAUAGCGUAUAUUAAAGUUGUUGCAGUUAAAAAGCUCGUAGUUGAAUUUCGGGGUCAAUAAGUUGGUCAUGCCAAUGGUAUGCACUGGCUUUAUUGAUUCCUACCUCUUGACGAACUGUGAUGCCAUUAAUUUGGUGUUGCAAGGAAUCAGGACUGUUACCUUGAAAAAAUUAGAGUGUUUAAAGCAAGCUUACGCUUGAAUACAUUAGCAUGGAAUAAUGAAAUAGGACGUUUGAUCCUAUUUUGUUGGUUUCUAGGAUCGACGUAAUGAUUAAUAGGGAUAGUUGGGGGCAUUAGUAUUCAAUUGUCAGAGGUGAAAUUCUUGGAUUUAUUGAAGACUAACUACUGCGAAAGCAUUUGCCAAGGAUGUUUUCAUUAAUCAAGAACGAAAGUUAGGGGAUCGAAGACGAUCAGAUACCGUCGUAGUCUUAACCAUAAACUA